rnacentral:rRNA from 1 species
GACGAACGCUGGCGGCGUGCUUAACACAUGCAAGUCGAACGGAAAGGCCCUGCUCUUGUGGGGUUCUCGAGUGGCGAACGGGUGAGUAACACGUGAGUAACCUGCCCUUGACUUUGGGAUAACUUCAGGAAACUGGGGCUAAUACCGGAUAGGAGCUCCUGCUGCAUGGUGGGGGUUGGAAAGUUUCGGCGGUUGGGGAUGGACUCGCGGCUUAUCGGCUAGUUGGUGGGGUAGUGGCUUACCAAGGGUUUGACGGGUAGCCGGCCUGAGAGGGUGAACGGCGACAUUGGGACUGAGAUACGGCGCAGACUGCUACGGGAGGCAGCGGUGGGGAGUAUGGCGGAGUGGGCGGAAGCCUGAUGUAGAAACGCCGCGUGCGGGAUAACCGCCUUCUAGUUGAGAACCGCUGUCGCCUGUGACGAAGCGUGAGUGACGGUAAUGGGUAAAGAAGCACCGGCUAACUACGUG